rnacentral:rRNA from 1 species
GACGAACCGAGCGAACGUUGUUCGGAAUCACUGGGCUUAAAGGGCGCGUAGGCGGGCAACCAAGUCCGGGGUGAAAUCCUCCAGCUCAACUGGAGAAGUGCCUCGGAUACUGGCUGCCUCGAGGAGGGUAGGGGCAUCUGGAACUAGCGGUGGAGCGGUGAAAUGCGUUGAUAUCGCUAGGAACUCCGGUGGCGAAGGCGAGGUGCUGGACCCUUUCUGACGCUGAGGCGCGAAAGCCAGGGGAGCGAACGGG